UACGGGGGGAGCAAGCGUUGUUCGGCUUUACUGGGCGUACAGGGCGCGUAGGCGGCGCAACAAGUCACUUGUGAAAUCUCCGGGCUUAACCCGGAGCGGCCAAGUGAUACUGUCGUGCUAGAGUGCGGAAGGGGCUACUGGAAUUCUCGGUGUAGCGGUGAAAUGCGUAGAUAUCGAGAGGAACACCUGCGGCGAAGGCGGGUAGCUGGGCCGACACUGACGCUGAGGCGCGAAAGCCAGGGGAGCGAACGGG
rnacentral:rRNA from 1 species